rnacentral:lncRNA from 1 species
GGAGUUACUGUUUAUUUGAAAGCUGCCUGUUGGACAGUGAGGAGUUACUGUUUAUUUGAAAGCUGCCUGUUGGACAGUGAGGAGUUACUGUUAUUUGAAAGCUGCGUGUUGGACAGUGAGGAGUUACUGUUUAUUUGAAAGCUGCCUGUUGGACAGUGAGGAGUUACUGUUUAUUUGAAAGCUGCCUGUUGGACAGUGAGGAGUUACUGUUUAUUUGAAAGCUGCCUGUUGGACAGUGAGGAGUUACUGUUUAUUUGAAAGCUGAGGGAUGUGAAUGACUAGUUAUGUACUUUGGUAAAGACGUUAUUCUACAUAUUUCUAUCUCUGUAAUGUAAUCUCGCUCUACUCUUUCUCCCUUGCUUGGCCAUCCUCCCUCUUGUCCUCUUAAUUAGCUUACCCUCUCCUGCAACAUUAGCUUUGUAUCACUCAGACCACAGGAGGCUGCUGAGGGGAGGACUACUCAUAAAAAGGCCUGGAAUGUAGUGAAUGGAAUAGUAUCAAAUGCAUGGAAACCAUUCAUUCCAUUCCAGCCAUUACUAUGAGCCUUGUCCUCCCCAAUUAAGGUGCCUCCAACCUCCUGGGAUUCAGACAGAGAAGUCACAGUAUUCACUGUUGGUUGUCCUCGUCAAAUAACUUUAUGAGAUCCCUUUUUCAUCCAUUCCACCGGCUCUCCCUUCACACAUGUAUUAAACAUGACUUCGGAUAUAGGCUGUCCCUUCACACAUGUAUUAAACAUGACUUCGGAUAUAGGCUGUCCCUUCACACAUGUAUUAAACAUGACUUCGGAUGUAGGCUGUCCCUUCACACAUGUAUUAAACAUGACUUCGGAUGUAGGCUGUCCCUUCACACAUGUAUUAAACAUGACUUCGGAUGUAGGCUGUCCCUUCACACAUGUAUUAAACAUGACUUCGGAUAUAGGCUGUCCCUUCACAUGUAUUAAACAUGACUUCGGAUAUAGGCUGUCCCUUCACAUGAAUUAAACAUGACUUCGGAUGUAGGCUAGUCAUUUUACGGGCAUUUCUCCAUGUGUACUGUGAACUUUCAUCCUUUUGUUAAUAACUCAGAAUCCAGUGUAUAGUCUUUAUUUAUUGCUUUACAAUCAUUUAUAAAGAUACUGUUUAUUACCUCACUAUUUUCUUUAAGAAAUCAGAAAUUCUCUGUCAGCAUUGUCUGUUUUUUUAUAUUAAAAAGGACUUUGUGUCAACGACCCUAAACCCCGCCUAUUUCUACAAAAACGUCCCACAUAAUCAUCCUAUUUCCCCAAGUAAAAAUAGCCUUUACAUGACCAAAACAUCACCCAUAAUAUUUGUACACCAUUAAAAUGCUCAGAAUUGAAGAAAUGGUACAUUCUCUCACAGUCAGGAAGCCUGAAAGAACAGGGGCUGACUGGGCGGAGAGCUUAUAUUCAUGAGCUCGCCUUGACUGAGAGCUCUUUGAAACGCCCUUGUGGUCGUUGCCUGGUAACAAGGUAAACAAUCCUAACCUAAAUUGUAAGGCUCAACCCAUUUUCUCUGCAAAAUGCUCUCAUGGCCAACAGAACUGGCUCAUGUUCUUGACGUGUCAUGUUUACAUAUUCUAGGUGUACAGUUGCACUGUGUUUAUGCAUAUUAGUCCAAUAACAAAGUCUUAUGUUUCCAACAUAGACUACAGCAUUCCUUUUCUCCAUAUGAAGUUUAGUCAGACUAUUGUUUUGUAACUAAUUACAGAAUACAUUUCACUGAUACACUUCUUCACAAGAAUUAGUAAAGCUCAAGACACCUUAGCCAUAAGGGAAUGUAUAUGAAAACAGCAUAUAAUCAGUGUACUGGACAAUGUAUUGGUGCCUCUUCAUUAGCAUUAUAAAUAACAUGUUCAGAAUUGUAUGUAUUGAUCAGACAUUAGUUUGAUCAUUUACAAUUAGGCCAGCACAACCAAAAUAUUGAUCACCAUAAAUGAAGGUGCGAAAUAAUGGUGAGACAUCAUUUGACAUUAAAAAAAUAUAUUAGAGCCAUAUACCUUAUAUAGGCACCGGCCACCCAACAGUGUGCAGAACCCCUUGACUCAUACAAUUUGUAACACUGCUCUCCUGUCCGAAUGCUUGAAGAAACAAUACAAAGUGUGAUGUAAUUCACGUUUACGUGAUAUGACUUUGACUUUAGAAAACUCAACCACCUACAGAGAUUGAUGGGGACCCGUAUACCCCGCUUGAAUCAAGCAGGCUUCAGUCACCCCCAAGAUUGAAGUGGGAGACAAAUCAGCUAUGGCCGCCUCCUCGUUAGGCCUCUCACACUGGACCGACAGGGGUCCUGGGACGUACAGCGCAGGCCUCUCACACUGGACCGACAGGGGUCCUGGGACGUACAGCGCAGGCCUCUCACACUGGGCCGGCAGGGGUCCUGGGACGUACAGCGCAGGCC